rnacentral:rRNA from 1 species
GAUGAACGCUAGCGGCAGGCUUAAUACAUGCAAGUCGAGGGGUAGCAAGAUUGUAGCAAUACAAUUGUUGACGACCGGCAAACGGGUGCGGAACACGUACACAACCUUCCUACAAGUGGGGAAUAGCCCAGAGAAAUUUGGAUUAAUACCCCGUAACAUAGCGAUGUGGCAUCACAUUGCUAUCAUAGCUUCGGCGCUUGUUGAUGGGUGUGCGGCUGAUUAGAUAGUUGGCGGGGUAACGGCCCACCAAGUCUGCGAUCAGUAGCUGAUGUGAGAGCAUGAUCAGCCACACGGGCACUGAGACACGGGCCCGACUCCUACGGGAGGCAGCAGUAAGGAAUAUUGGACAAUGGACGCAAGUCUGAUCCAGCCAUGCCGCGUGAAGGAUUAAGGUCCUCUGGAUUGUAAACUUCUUUUAUAAGGGACGAAAAAAGGUCUUUCUAGAUCGUCUGACGGUACCUUAUGAAUAAGCACCGGCUAACUCCGUGCCAGCAGCCGCCGUAA